UACCGUGAAACUGCAAUGGCUCAUUAAAUCAGUUAUCGUUUAUUUGAUAAUACCUUACUACUUGGAUAACCGUGGUAAUUCUAGAGCUAAUACAUGCUGAAAAUCCCGACUUCGGAAGGGAUGUGUUUAUUAGAUAAAAAACCAAUGCCCUUCGGGGCUUUUUGGUGAUUCAUGAUCACUUUACGGAUCGCAUAGCCUUGCGCUGGCGACGGUUCAUUCAAAUUUCUGCCCUAUCAACUUUCGAUGGUAAGGUAUUGGCUUACCAUGGUUUCAACGGGUAACGGGGAAUUAGGGUUCGAUUCCGGAGAGGGAGCCUGAGAAACGGCUACCACAUCCAAGGAAGGCAGCAGGCGCGCAAAUUACCCAAUCCCGACACGGGGAGGUAGUGACAAUAAAUACUGAUACAGGGCUCUUUUGGGUCUUGUAAUUGGAAUGAGUACAAUUUAAACCUCUUAACGAGGAACAAUUGGAGGGCAAGUCUGGUGCCAGCAGCCGCGGUAAUUCCAGCUCCAAUAGCGUAUAUUAAAGUUGUUGCAGUUAAAAAGCUCGUAGUUGAAACUUGGGCCUGGCUGGCGGGUCCGCCUCACCGCGUGCACUCGUCCGGCCGGGCCUUCCUUCUGAAGAACCUCAUGCCCUUCACUGGGCGUGCUGGGGAAUCAGGACUUUUACUUUGAAAAAAUUAGAGUGUUCAAAGCAGGCCUUUGCUCGAAUACGUUAGCAUGGAAUAAUAAAAUAGGGCGUGCGUUUCUAUUUUGUUGGUUUCUAGAGACGCCGCAAUGAUUAACAGGAACAGUCGGGGGCAUCAGUAUUCAGUUGUCAGAGGUGAAAUUCUUGGAUUUACUGAAGACUAACUACUGCGAAAGCAUUUGCCAAGGAUGUUUUCAUUAAUCAGUGAACGAAAGUUAGGGGAUCGAAGACGAUCAGAUACCGUCGUAGUCUUAACCGUAAACUAUGCCGACUAGGGAUCGGGCGAUGUUCUUUUUCUGACUCGCUCGGCACCUUACGAGAAAUCAAAGUUUUGUAUUCUGUGUGAUAUAACCGACG
rnacentral:rRNA from 1 species